AUUGAACGCUGGCGGCAGGCCUAACACAUGCAAGUCGAGCGGAUGAAGGGAGCUUGCUCCUGGAUUCAGCGGCGGACGGGUGAGUAAUGCCUAGGAAUCUGCCUGGUAGUGGGGGAUAACGUCCGGAAACGGGCGCUAAUACCGCAUACGUCCUGAGGGAGAAAGUGGGGGAUCUUCGGACCUCACGCUAUCAGAUGAGCCUAGGUCGGAUUAGCUAGUUGGUGGGGUAAAGGCCUACCAAGGCGACGAUCCGUAACUGGUCUGAGAGGAUGAUCAGUCACACGUGAGCUGAGACACGGUCCAGCCUCCUACGGGAGGCAGCAGUGGGGAAUAUUGGACAGUGGGCGAAAGCCUGAUCCAGCCAUGCCGCGUGUGUGAAGAAGGUCUUCGGAUUGUAAAGCACUUUAAGUUGGGAGGAAGGGCAGUAAGUUAAUACCUUGCUGUUUUGACGUUACCAACAGAAUAAGCACCGGCUAACUUCGU
rnacentral:rRNA from 1 species